rnacentral:lncRNA from 1 species
AAAUAUGUGGGGACUAUGAGUAAAUAUUUGUACUUCUCAUUGCUAAGUCUUUCAAAGUUUGCUUUGGAUUAAAAGAACAAAAAGAGUUGUCCAGGAGCAAAUGAUGAGACAGCACAGCCCUGCGUCCCUCCCAGCCUCAGGCUGAUCACAGGACACCUGUCAGGGUGAAAGUACACAGGACGUGCCGCAGGUGAGCCGAGCCAGCACCGCCCACCGAGCCUCCACAGAAGAUCCUCCACGGUUCCAGGAUGGACAGUCCCUACAAAAUCAGCCCUGAGAAUCACUGAACUUCACAAAUUGUCCAAGGACGAGGCACGUCGACUUCGGCAGAUGAAGUUUCUUUCCCGAAGUUGUUUUUCAACACAGCGAGCAGUUCUCAGAAACACUUUGGGUGGCUUAUCUGGGAAGUUAUAUCUGCUCACUUGGCAGCCCUUUCCACAUCUUACAGUGGAGCACAGCCGGUCACAGCAUCGAUACUGUGCACAGUUUAAAACCAUCUGAAUGUUGUCUUCUUGGAACAUUUCAGAAACCUGCAAAAUUAGUUGAUAGGAAGGCAUGAAGGCAGUGCCUCUAGCUCCAUCGUGCUGCACAUCUCCAUGAGAAAAUUGAAGCUCAUCCUUCCAAGCUGCUGGUGACCCUCAGGAUGGGUGAGCAUGCGCUUGGCCUAAGAAUCCCAGCCAACCUCAGCCGAGGGGAGCCCCUUCCUGCUCCCCCCACGACCUGCUGCUUUGCUGUUCGCCACCAAAACUCCCCGUGCGUGCCGGAAAGAGGUGCUGCCUGGACUCCUGUGUCUCGGACACUUUUCAGAACUGCAUGGAGAGUGCACUGCAGGUGGGGUCUAUCUGUACAAAGACCGUGAAGGCACCAUCCAGGUGCAGAGACAGGAGCUUGGCGAGG